GUGCUCACUUCUGCAGCACAUAUACUAAAAUUGAAAUGGUAAAGAGAAGAAUAGAGUGGCCAUCAAGCAAGGAUGACACACAAAUUCAUGAAGCAUUUCAUAUUUUU